rnacentral:rRNA from 1 species
AACGCGAAGAACCUUACCUGGGCUUGAACUACUGGUGGUAAGUCUCUAGAAACAGAGGCUGACCCGCAAGGGAGCCAGCAGAGGUGCUGCAUGGUUGUCGUCAGCUCGUGUCGUGAGAUGUUGGGUUAAGUCCCGCAACGAGCGCAACCCCUAUCUCAUGUUGCUACCUGCGCAAGCAGGGCACUUUUGAGAAACUGCCUUCGAUAAGAAGGAGGAAGGUGGGGACGACGUCAAAUCCUCAUGGCCCUUAUGUCCAGGGCUACACACGUGCUACAAUGGCCGGUACAACGGGAAGCAAUACCGCAAGGUGGAGCAAAACCCUGAAAGCCGGCCCCAGUUCAGAUCGUGGGCUGCAACUCGCCCACGUGAAGGCGGAAUCGCUAGUAAUCGCGAAUCAGCAGGUCGCGGUGAAUACGUUCCCGGGCCUUGUACACACCGUACGUC